AUGUCCUGCAAGGAGCUCCCAAACAUGGAGGGAUUGAAGACGGCGUUCUUGGCGUGGCGGAUCUCCUCGAUGUUGGGCUUCUUCAGGCCCUGAGGGAGGCAGAGAGGUGGUCCUGAGGUCACUGUCUUCAUGUUGGGGCACUCUGAUGGGAAAUGUGGGAUGGCGGGGGGAAGGUCCUGCUCAUCAUGAUGGGAUGCAGAAGAGAAGAUGGAUGUACAGGAUGUCAACGCGGUGCGAUGGAGAGGAUAUGAGCGUGCGCUGCAGACGUGGAGCAAUGGGAAGGGACGGCCCCACUUUGGAGACAGAAAACUCUGGGACAGAACGUUCAGUUUCCAUACAGCUCUGAAAAUCUGGAUCCAUCUGUUUCUACCCCCACCUUUGAUCCCCAUCGAUUGGAAGAGUGCUGGCAGCGCGUGGGGAUGCACAUCAGGGCCCCAAACCUUCCCUGAUCCAGGAGGAAAAUCGAUGGGAUCCUUCCAAACCCCCAUGGCCAGGUAGGGGGGCAGGGUAGAAGGAAAGGUGACAACCAACUCCGGGAACUCCAGCACCCGACCCGGUGCUUCAGUGGGCGCUAAUUAAUGAGCUGUUAUUAACGAGGGACCGAAUGGAUGCUGUGCAGCGGCCCCAGCUCUCGGGCCUGGGGACUGAACUGAGGGUCAGCGCAGAUGAGGCUGGGGGGAAGCGCUGUGCUGCCUCCUCUGGGCAAAACCCAUUCAUUUCUUUCAGGUUUGUAAUGUUCAGCUAUUAUUUUGUUUGAUUUUCUUCAUUUUACACACCGUUCAUUAUUUUAGAUGUCAUUUAUAACCCUUUAUAGCAUUGCUUAUUCUAGGGAUCACCUGUUUAUUACCUUACGGAUCGUUCAUCGUUGUGUGCACCUUUCGUUAUUUUAGAGGCCAUUGAUUGUGGCGGAUGUCAUUAAUUACUGCCUGGGUUAUUCAUUAGUUGAUUUUUUUUGCAAUAUUUUAAAACGAUUUUUAA